GGAUGUGAUGAGUUUGAAUUGUCGCCCCAGUCCUAUGUAAGUGCUUAGGCGCUUCAUGAGGAUUGACUUGUUAUCAAUUCUGAUCC
rnacentral:snoRNA from 1 species